CACGCGUUUUGUAUCGCCAAUACAUUUAUUAACAUCUUAUUAAGUAGGUUUUACCGUCGUCGUUGCGUUGUUGUUCGGCAUUACACAGUACUCUGUAAUGAUUUUAAUAAUUUCAUCAAUUUAGAUUGUCCCUAAAGGCCCUGUCACACUAUUGCGUAUCGUACUAGCGUAUGUCAGCGUAUGAAAAAUAUCACUCAUACGCCGGUAUACGCUGACAUACGCUAGGGGUACGUUAGGCAUAGGUUGUAUACGUUUCAAGCACGGUCGCGUACGGUGGCAUACGCUGGCAUACGUCGAGGCAGAGAUUUGUUUUUGAGCAUGUUCAAAAAUUUUGUGCGUAUCGGACGUAUGCUUUAUACGAUAAGCAUACUCUAGGCACACCCUGAAUACGCUAGAGGUACGCCAGAUGUACGGUACUCGUACGCUGGCAUUUCAAAGGAUUUUUGUGCGUAUCAAAAUUAUUUCAUUGAUUUUCAUACACUUCUCAUACGUUUCUCUCAUACGCAAUAGUGUGACAGGGCCUUAAAACGCGGAUCAAACGAGGAUGAGAAGUCACGCCACCUUGGUUAGCUGUACUCAAUAGACAAUACUUUUCCAACACAAUCAUGUAUCAAGUUAAAACAUAGUUGGAACACUCGUGAAACCUUUAUUUUGUUAAUCUAGAGCUUGAAGUCAGUCCCCGUAACAACACGUGACUGCCUCAGACAUCGUUUGACCGGGGUUUAUAAUAAUUACUACACUACUACAGUCAGGGACGCCGGAACGAUAAAAAGACAAAGGGGGGGGGGGGGAAAAAACACACCAAAGGGCACCUCUAUAGACUCCGGUGAAGAUAUAAACCUACAAUUAUGAUGUGUUGACUUGCCAAUGAAAGCAAACGCACUUAAUCAGGUCACAUUCAAGAUCACACCUCAUGAUUUUGCCGAAAAAGCAUCACUGGAAACGUGAUUUAUCAGGUAGUAUUUUACAACUCAAAGGGCACUUCUGCCCCCCUUGCCCCUCCUAGCAAAAGGCAAGAGGGGCAGCUGCCCCCCCCCCCCCCCCCCCCCCCCCCCCC